rnacentral:rRNA from 1 species
GCCUAACACAUGCAAGUCGAGCGGUAACAGGCGUAGCAAUACGUGCUGACGAGCGGCGAACGGGUGAGCAAUGCUUCGGAAUCUACCCAAUGAUGGGGAAUAACCAGUCGAAAGAUUGGCUAAUACCGCAUACGCCCUACGGGGGAAAGCAGGGGAUCGCAAGACCUUGCGUCGAUGGAUGAGCCGAAGUCGGAUUAGCUAGUUGGUGAGGUAACGGCUCACCAAGGCGACGAUCCGUAGCUGGUCUGAGAGGACGACCAGCCACACUAGGACUGAGACACGGCCCAGACUCCUACGGGAGGCAGCAGUGGGGAAUAUUGGACAAUGGGGGAAACCCUGAUCCAGCGACGCCGCGUGUGUGAAGAAGGCCUGCGGGUUGUAAAGCACUUUUAGUGGGGAGGAAAUGCUCAGACCUAACACGUCUGGGAGCUGACUUAACCCAAAGAAAAAGCACCGGCUAACUCUGUGCCAGCAGCCGCGGUAAUACAGAGGGUGCAAGC